rnacentral:rRNA from 1 species
UACAGAGGUCUCGAGCGUUGUUCGGAUUCAUUGGGCGUAAAGGGCGCGUAGGCGGCGGGGUAAGUCUGGUGUGAAAUCUCGGAGCUCAACUCCGAAAUUGCACUGGAUACUGCUCUGCUAGAGGGCUGGAGAGGAGAUCGGAAUUCACGGUGUAGCAGUGAAAUGCGUAGAUAUCGUGAGGAAGACCAGUGGCGAAGGCGGAUCUCUGGACAGCUCCUGACGCUGAGGCGCGAAGGCUAGGGGAGCAAAGCGGG